UACAGAGGCCUCGAGCGUUAGGCGGAAUCACUGGGCUUAAAGCGUGUGUAGGCGGGUCGUUAAGUGCCUUGUGAAAUCCCAUGGCUCAACCAUGGAACUGCUGGGCAUACUGGCGAUCUUGUGCCACCUAGGGGCGAGCGGAACAGAUGGUGGAGCGGUGAAAUGCGUAGAUAUCAUCUGGAACGCCAAUGGUGAAAACAGCUCGCUGGGGGUGUGCAGACGCUGAGACACGAAAGCCAGGGGAGCGAACGGG
rnacentral:rRNA from 1 species